GGGGAGCAAACAGGAUAGAUACCCUGGUAGUCCACGCUGUAAACGAUGUCGAUUUGGAGUUUGUUGCCUAGAGUGAUGGGCUCCGAAGCUAACGCGAUAAAUCGACCGCCUGGGGAGUACGGCCGCAAGGUUAAAACUCAAAUGAAUUGACGGGGGCCCGCACAAGCGGUGGAGCAUGUGGUUUAAUUCGAUGCAACGCGAAGAACCUUACCUGGUCUUGACAUCCAUAGAAUUCUGCAGAGAUGUGGGAGUGCCUUCGGGAACUAUGAGACAGGUGCUGCAUGGCUGUCGUCAGCUCGUGUUGUGAAAUGUUGGGUUAAGUCCCGCAACGAGCGCAACCCUUAUUCUUUGUUGCCAGCGAUUUGGUCGGGAACUCAAAGGAGACUGCCGUUGAUAAAGCGGAGGAAGGUGGGGACGACGUCAAGUCAUCAUGGCCCUUACGACCAGGGCUACACACGUGCUACGAUGGCGUAUACAAAGGGAAGCGAAGGUGCGAGCUGGAGCGGAUCUCAUAAAGUACGUCUAUGUUCGGAUUGGAGUCUGCAACUCGACUCCAUGAAGUCGGAAUCGCUAGUAAUCGUAGAUCAGAAUGCUACGGUGAAUACGUUCCCGGGCCUUGUACACACCGCCCGUCACACCAUGGGAGUGGGUUGCACCAGAAGUAGAUAGCUUAACCGCGAGGGGGGCGUUUACCACGGUGUGAUUCAUGACUGGGGUGAAGUCGUAACAAGGUAACCA
rnacentral:rRNA from 1 species